CUUGCUUAAUGAGGAUAAACCUUAAAUUAUUCCGAUAGUAUAUGAAUGGAUAAUUUACCUCCUACUCAUUCUGA